GGGAAAAGAAACCAACCGGGAUUGCCUUAGUAACGGCGAGUGAAGCGGCAAAAGCUCAAAUUUGAAAUCUGGUACCUUCGGUGCCCGAGUUGUAAUUUGGAGAGGGCAACUUUGGGGCCGUUCCUUGUCUAUGUUCCUUGGAACAGGACGUCAUAGAGGGUGAGAAUCCCGUGUGGCGAGGAGUGCGGUUCUUUGUAAAGUGCCUUCGAAGAGUCGAGUUGUUUGGGAAUGCAGCUCUAAGUGGGUGGUAAAUUCCAUCUAAAGCUAAAUAUUGGCGAGAGACCGAUAGCGAACAAGUACAGUGAUGGAAAGAUGAAAAGAACUUUGAAAAGAGAGUGAAAAAGUACGUGAAAUUGUUGAAAGGGAAGGGCAUUUGAUCAGACAUGGUGUUUUGUGCCCUCUGCUCCUUGUGGGUAGGGGAAUCUCGCAUUUCACUGGGCCAGCAUCAGUUUUGGUGGCAGGAUAAAUCCAUAGGAAUGUAGCUUGCCUCGGUAAGUAUUAUAGCCUGUGGGAAUACUGCCAGCUGGGACUGAGGACUGCGACGUAAGUCAAGGAUGCUGGCAUAAUGGUUAUAUGCCGCCCGUCU
rnacentral:rRNA from 1 species